GACGAACGCUGGCGGCGUGCCUAAUACAUGCAAGUUGAGCGAUGAAGAUUGGUGCUUGCACCAAUUUGAAGAGCAGCGAACGGGUGAGUAACGCGUGGGGAAUCUGCCUUUGAGCGGGGGACAACAUUUGGAAACGAAUGCUAAUACCGCAUAACAACUUUAAACAUAAGUUUUAAGUUUGAAAGAUGCAAUUGCAUCACUCAAAGACGAUCCCGCGUUGUAUUAGCUAGUUGGUGAGGUAAAGGCUCACCAAGGCGAUGAUACAUAGCCGACCUGAGAGGGUGAUCGGCCACAUUGGGACUGAGACACGGCCCAAACUCCUACGGGAGGCAGCAGUAGGGAAUCUUCGGCAAUGGACGAAAGUCUGACCGAGCAACGCCGCGUGAGUGAAGAAGGUUUUCGGAUCGUAAAACUCUGUUGGUAGAGAAGAACGUUGGUGAGAGUGGAAAGCUCAUCAAGUGACGGUAACUACACAGAAAGGGACGGCUAACUACGUG
rnacentral:rRNA from 1 species